UGAGCAAUCUGCCCUUCUCAUCGGAAUAAGCGUUGGAAACGACGUCUAAUGCCGAAUACGACCUCCUUUCGCAUGAUCGGAGGUGGAAAGCUCCGGCGGAGAAGGAUGAGCUCGCGGCCUAUCAGCUAGUUGGUGGGGUAACGCUCACCAAGGCGACGACGGGUANCUGGUCUGAGAGGAUGGCCAGCCACAGUUGGGACUGAGACACGGCCCAGACCUCGUACGGGA
rnacentral:rRNA from 1 species